AGAGUUUGAUCUGGCUCAGGACGAACGCUGGCGGCGUGCUUAACACAUGCAAGUCGAACGGUGAACUCCGCUUGCGGGGGGAUCAGUGGCGAACGGGUGAGUAACACGUGGGCAACCUGCCCUCAGCUCUGGGAUAACUCCAAGAAAUUGGGGCUAAUACUGGAUACGACCGCUGACCGCAUGGUCUGGUGGUGGAAAGAUUUAUUGGCUGGGGAUGGGCCCGCGGCCUAUCAGCUUGUUGGUGGGGUAGUGGCCUACCAAGGCGACGACGGGUAGCCGGCCUGAGAGGGUGACCGGCCACACUGGGACUGAGACACGGCCCAGACUCCUACGGGAGGCAGCAGUGGGGAAUAUUGCGCAAUGGGCGAAAGCCUGACGCAGCGACGCCGCGUGGGGGAUGACGGCCUUCGGGUUGUAAACCUCUUUCAGCAGGGACGAAGCGAAAGUGACGGUACCUGCAGAAGAAGCACCGGCCAACUACGUGCCAGCAGCCGCGGUAAUACGUAGGGUGCAAGCGUUGUCCGGAAUUAUUGGGCGUAAAGAGCUCGUAGGCGGUUUGUUGCGUCGGCUGUGAAAACCUGAGGCUCAACCUCAGGCCUGCAGUCGAUACGAGCAGACUAGAGUGUUGCAGGGGAGACUGGAAUUCCUGGUGUAGCGGUGAAAUGCGCAGAUAUCAGGAGGAACACCGGUGGCGAAGGCGGGUCUCUGGGCAACAACUGACGCUGAGGAGCGAAAGCGUGGGGAGCGAACAGGAUUAGAUACCCUAGUAGUCC
rnacentral:rRNA from 1 species